AACAAAGGGAUCCGACGGUCCAGAUUCGACCCAACUUCGUCAAAUGUAUGUAUAAAUACAAAAAUUGAACUUAUAUGUCUCUCAAUAAUGUAACUGAGUCACUCUCUCUCUCUCUCUCUUUUCUUAAAACAUGGAUCUAGUCUCUCUCUCUCUCUUUCUCCCUCUCCUUUCUCUCUGGUAUAAAGAAUUUAUUUUAUGUUCUCCCUUAUAAAACUCAAAAAAAGAUAGAUACAAAUCUUGGGAAAGAAAAUGAAAGAGGUCAGGAGGAGGAAACAGUUCACAGAUUCUCUCAGCCUUUGGUAAUAUUAUCUCUUGAGGGGUAAUUUCGUCAUUUAAGCAAGAUCAGGGACGGUUGCCUCAGAUUAAAAACAAUGCCGGUGUUUCUCGUCUGUACUACCCCUUUUAACCCGGCGAGUUUGACCCUCGGCGUUUUAAUUCUACAACAUAUAAUUCUUUGCUUUCGCUUUAUGUGUAUCUCUCUAUCAAUUAAAGUGUGAUGCAAUUUUUUUAUAAAUAUUUAUGAGGAGAUUGGAAUUUUUAUAACUCAAGAAAAUGGACAGAGAGAGUAUUCAAGAAACUGCUGACCUAGCAAAAGUGAAAGCAAGACAAGAAAAAAAUUUAACAAAAAUUAAGCGUGGGCCCCCAUGUAAGGCAGUUCAGACUCCGAUAUUACCAAUACACUAGUAUUUUUUUUAAAAAAACAUUUAAUUAAAGAAAAAUCGUAGGAAGAAAAAAAGCACACAUGACUCUAACAACGGCCGUGGAACAGUCACUGGAUAAAUUAAAUCAAUCUGAGCCGUCCAUGUCAGAUUUAUCGGGCACCUUGAUCGGGCAACGUCAUCAAACAGAUCUUAACCGUCAGAUCUCAUAUCAACGGUGAGGAGAUGCACUAAGCGUUUUAACGGGCAGGUUUCA
rnacentral:lncRNA from 1 species